rnacentral:rRNA from 1 species
UACGUAGGGUGCAAGCGUUGUCCGGAAUUAUUGGGCGUAAAGGGCGCGUAGGCGGCGCUGUAAGUCUGUGGUGAAAUCUCUGGGCUCAACUCAGAGUCUGCCAUAGAAACUGCAGUGCUGGAGUGUGGGAGAGGUGAGUGGAAUUCCCGGUGUAGAGGUGAAAUUCGUAGAUAUUGGGAGGAACACCGAUGGCGAAGGCAGGUCUCUGGGCCGAUACUGACGCUGAGGAGCGAAAGCGUGGGGAGCGAACAGG